rnacentral:sRNA from 12 species
AGAGCCCUGCACGUUGCGAAGUCCCAGGUCCCACCUGGGAUACGAAUCUAUAGAAAUUUUCAUAGCAGCUGCGGGGCUUU